rnacentral:rRNA from 1 species
UACGAAGGGGGCUAGCGUUGCUCGGAAUGACUGGGCGUAAAGGGUGCGUAGGCGGCCGGGUAAGUCUGAUGUGAAAUCCCGCAGCUUAACUGCGGAACUGCAUCGGAUACUCUCCGGCUAGAGGAAUGGAGGGGAGACUGGAAUUCUCGGUGUAGCAGUGAAAUGCGUAGAUAUCAAGAGGAACACCAGUGGCGAAGGCGAGUCUCUGGACAUUUCCUAACGCUGAGGCACGAAAGCCAGGGGAGCAAACGGG